AGAGCGAACGCUGGCGGCAGGCCUAAUACAUGCAAGUCGAACGGAUCCUUCGGGAUUAGUGGCGGACGGGUGAGUAACACGUGGGAACGUGCCCUUUGGUUCGGAACAACUCAGGGAAACUUGAGCUAAUACCGGAUAAGCCCUUUUGGGGAAAGAUUUAUCGCCAUUGGAGCGGCCCGCGUCUGAUUAGCUAGUUGGUGGGGUAAAGGCCCACCAAGGCUACGAUCAGUAGCUGGUCUGAGAGGAUGAUCAGCCACACUGGGACUGAGACACGGCCCAGACUCCUACGGGAGGCAGCAGUAGGGAAUCUUGCGCAAUGGGCGAAAGCCUGACGCAGCCAUGCCGCGUGAAUGAUGAAGGUCUUAGGAUUGUAAAAUUCUUUCAGCGGGGACGAUAAUGACGGUACCGCAGAAGAAGCCCGGCUAACUUCGCGCCAGCAGCCGC
rnacentral:rRNA from 1 species